UGCAUUUUUCUCUUCCUUUUUUUAUUUGUGUUUCGGCCGGAUCUUCUGUCAAAAACAGUCGCCAAGAGAAUGGCGUUUCCACUCAAUGAUGUUUGUGAAGGUGGGAUUCUCGACGACGAAAACCAGCUGUGCCAUGACGAGG